GGGGAAUAUUGCACAAUGGGCGCAAGCCUGAUGCAGCGACGCCGCGUGAGGGAUGACGGCCUUCGGGUUGUAAACCUCUUUCAGUAGGGAAGAAGCGAAAGUGACGGUACCUACAGAAGAAGCACCGGCUAACUACGUGCCAGCAGCCGCGGUAAUACGUAGGGUGCGAGCGUUGUCCGGAAUUAUUGGGCGUAAAGAGCUUGUAGGCGGUUUGUCGCGUCUGCUGUGAAAAUCCGGGGCUCAACCCCGGACUUGCAGUGGGUACGGGCAGACUAGAGUGUGGUAGGGGAGACUGGAAUUCCUGGUGUAGCGGUGAAAUGCGCAGAUAUCAGGAGGAACACCGAUGGCGAAGGCAGGUCUCUGGGCCACUACUGACGCUGAGAAGCGAAAGCAUGGGGAGCGAAC
rnacentral:rRNA from 1 species